UGGGCUGUAGCUCAGUGGUAGAGCGCUCGCCUAGCAUGUGUGAGGCACUGGGUUCAAUCCUCAGCACCACAU
rnacentral:tRNA from 1 species